AGACAGGUGAGAGUGGACGCGUCCCACCGCCACCAGGCAGCUGAAGUGGGAGCUGUCCUGCUUGUCGGCCUCGCCUUCCCCCUCUGCUCCCAACUGACUGGUGCUGGCCUGGAAUUCCUUCUCCUCCACUUUGACAGAAAUCUUGUUGUAUUUCAUGCGACAGAAGAAAGAGCGCCGUGCGCCUGAACACAGCCGUGCUGCACCGACUGGGACGUCAGCCUGGACCUGCAGACCGGCUGCGGACAUGACAGGAUUGUUAAUGUGCUCUCACUCUCGUACUCACUCACUCACCACUCAGCGCACGCGCACACACAAAAACUACUUUACUUUUAGCAUCUAUAAGCCGUUCACGAGGGUAUAAUUCAGAAGCUGACAGCUGCUCCUUCACUUUUCCCAUAUCCUUAGGGUGUAUGUAAUCAAACAGGCUCUGUCCAAUCAGCUCCGCCUGUAGGAAGAAAAAACAGCUUAUCAAACUGACCUAAAUACGAUUCCCAUGCUGAUAAAAAGAAAUGUCCAAACCAUUCUGCACCUAAAGCAAUACUUGCUGACAAAUAACAAAUUUAACAAAGUACACGGAUUUUGGACUGUUGACCCCCGGAGCACACCAGAUACUGCAUGGAGCAGAGGUUUAGAUUUUAGUAGGAAUGAGGAUGAGAGGCAAUGGAUCAUUUUCCCACAGCUUUGUUGUGGGACAGCAUGUGAACGUCCCUUUACUGCGGUAAUCAAAAGAUAUCAACACCCAAUUAAAGUUUUAGGAUUCAUCAGAUAGUCAUCUUAACACAGAUUUACAUAAAGACACAUUGAUGUGCUUUCUUAAAUGACACAAUGCAAAUAUAAAUCAUCAAUUUGGUAUUUCUCAAGUGUACCUGAGUGAAACGUGUGCACAUGAUGCCAAACCUGUCGCUAUAGAUCCACGUAUGGCUGGUUGGUUCUGGCCUAUUAACAUUAGUGCCAAGGCAACGCAACCUAUCUGGUGUGUCCAGGGUUUUCUCAUGAACAAAGAUGCUGCAGACAGAGUAACAAAUGUAAAGGGGUUACCCGACUAUAAUUUAAUAUCUUCGUGACGGACUCUGAGACAAAAACUAUUUUCCCACGAUCACAGCCCACUACAAACAGGAACCCAUCUGCAGCCUGCACAACAAAGAAACAUGGGGGAGAAUAGGGGGAGCCAAUGUGAUGACAUGGUCAAGAAAAAAGAAAACCUGGACCUCAUUUUGGAUUCUGAUCUCAUUCUGGAUCUCAGAGUUUUAAGCCAUCAGUCUAUCUGUAAUAAAAUUGUACUAACUAAAUUUACGAUUGAGAGCUAGGAACAUGGUCACAUCAUUUAAAACCAGUACUGCCACAUUGUAUGUGUGCUCACUUUCAGUUUUUACCUCCAAUUAAGCAGAUGAGAUAAUCUGACUAAACUAUUGGCUUGUUUAUAACCUGUCAGAUUGUCUGAAAUCUCAGUUCUUGCCAGACGGACUUUGUUGUAGCAAUGUGUUCUUGUUUCCAAAUUCGCAGCAAUUGACGUAUUUAAUAUUUUACUGGAGAGUACAAUGUUUUAUAACUGAUAAAACUGAUUGCGAAAACUAAAAAAAUAAAACCUUAUUUGUAAGAAACCUGAACGCAUCAGUGACAACAAUGCCAGGCUAAAUUACACUGCUGGACGAUAAUUGACUUGGUACCUUUGAGAGAUUUGAGGUGCUGCACAGCCAUUCUGAGCACAGUGAGU